rnacentral:rRNA from 1 species
UACGUAGGGCGCAAGCGUUUAUCCGGAAUUAUUGGGCGUAAAGAGCUCGUAGGCGGUUUGUCGCGUCUGCCGUGAAAGUCCGGGGCUCAACUCCGGAUCUGCGGUGGGUACGGGCAGACUAGAGUGAUGUAGGGGAGACUGGAAUUCCUGGUGUAGCGGUGAAAUGCGCAGAUAUCAGGAGGAACACCGAUGGCGAAGGCAGGUCUCUGGGCAUUAACUGACGCUGAGACGCGAAAGCAUGGGGAGCGAACAGG